rnacentral:rRNA from 1 species
GACGGAGGGUGCAAGCGUUGUUCGGAAUUACUGGGCGUAAAGGGCGCGUAGGCGGCUCUUCAAGUCAGCCGUGAAAUCUCCAGGCUUAACCUGGAAGGGUCGGUUGAUACUGUCGAGCUAGAGUGUAGAAGAGGCAACUGGAAUUCCGUGUGUAGCGGUGAAAUGCGUAGAUAUACGGAGGAACACCUGCGGCGAAGGCGGGUUGCUGGGCUGACACUGACGCUGAAGCGCGAAAGCCAGGGGAGCGAACGGG